rnacentral:rRNA from 1 species
AUUGAACGCUGGCGGCAGGCUUAACACAUGCAAGUCGAGCGGAGAUGAGGUGCUUGCACCUUAUCUUAGCGGCGGACGGGUGAGUAAUGCUUAGGAAUCUGCCUAUUAGUGGGGGACAACAUUCCGAAAGGAAUGCUAAUACCGCAUACGUCCUACGGGAGAAAGCAGGGGACCUUCGGGCCUUGCGCUAAUAGAUGAGCCUAAGUCGGAUUAGCUAGUUGGUGGGGUAAAGGCCUACCAAGGCGACGAUCUGUAGCGGGUCCGAGAGGAUGAUCCGCCACAAGGGGACUGAGACACGGCCCAGACUCCUACGGGAGGCAGCAGUGGGGAAUAUUGGGCAAUGGGCGGAAGCCUGAUCCAGCCAUGCCGCGUGUGUGAAGAAGGCCUUUUGGUUGUAAAGCACUUUAAGCGAGGAGGAGGCUACUAGUACUAAUACUACUGGAUAGUGGACGUUACUCGCAGAAUAAGCACCGGCUAACUCUGUGCCAGCCGCCGCCGUAAGAC